rnacentral:misc_RNA from 1 species
ACAAGAGAGAGAGUAAAAAAAAAUCCUACAGAAUCUUAAUUUUUUUUUUCAAAACACACAAAAUCACCUUACACUAAAGCAAAGCUUAAACCUAUAAGAACUACAAUGACUCACCCACAAUAAAUUGCACUCAGAUCUUAAGACGGCGAGAGAAUCCAACCCAAAAAAAGAAAAGAGCAAAAAGGGCCCGCAACACACGUCCUGAGCCUUAUAUACAGCAAACCCAGUGUGUCGCGACACAACUACCCCCUAAGGUGCACCGCAACGUAAUACGAUACGAGGGUAUUCCAAAAAAUUAAAUCAGUCGCCUAGAAAAAGUAAAUAGCAACGCUAGUGCAUAACUGUGCUAUUAUACAUCAGCAGGAACGAAACUACGUGCUAAUAAAAAUAUAUGCUACACACCUUUCGAUUAAAAGAAAAUUUGUCGAAAUCGGUCCACCCAGUUAAAAGUUCUGAUGUAACAUACAUAAAAAAAAAACACAGUCGAAUUGAGAACCUCCUCCUUUUUUGGAAGUCGGUUAAAAAAAAA